rnacentral:rRNA from 2 species
UGCAGUCGAGCGGACAGAUGGGAGCUUGCUCCCUGAUGUUAGCGGCGGACGGGUGAGUAACACGUGGGUAACCUGCCUGUAAGACUGGGAUAACUCCGGGAAACCGGGGCUAAUACCGGAUGGUUGUUUGAACCGCAUGGUUCAGACAUAAAAGGUGGCUUCGGCUACCACUUACAGAUGGACCCGCGGCGCAUUAGCUAGUUGGUGAGGUAACGGCUCACCAAGGCGACGAUGCGUAGCCGACCUGAGAGGGUGAUCGGCCACACUGGGACUGAGACACGGCCCAGACUCCUACGGGAGGCAGCAGUAGGGAAUCUUCCGCAAUGGACGAAAGUCUGACGGAGCAACGCCGCGUGAGUGAUGAAGGUUUUCGGAUCGUAAAGCUCUGUUGUUAGGGAAGAACAAGUGCCGUUCAAAUAGGGCGGCACCUUGACGGUACCUAACCAGAAAGCCACGGCUAACUACGUGCCAGCAGCCGCGGUAAUACGUAGGUGGCAAGCGUUGUCCGGAAUUAUUGGGCGUAAAGGGCUCGCAGGCGGUUUCUUAAGUCUGAUGUGAAAGCCCCCGGCUCAACCGGGGAGGGUCAUUGGAAACUGGGGAACUUGAGUGCAGAAGAGGAGAGUGGAAUUCCACGUGUAGCGGUGAAAUGCGUAGAGAUGUGGAGGAACACCAGUGGCGAAGGCGACUCUCUGGUCUGUAACUGACGCUGAGGAGCGAAAGCGUGGGGAGCGAACAGGAUUAGAUACCCUGGUAGUCCACGCCGUAAACGAUGAGUGCUAAGUGUUAGGGGGUUUCCGCCCCUUAGUGCUGCAGCUAACGCAUUAAGCACUCCGCCUGGGGAGUACGGUCGCAAGACUGAACUCAAAGGAAUUGACGGGGGGCCCGCACAAGCGGUG